GAUAAGAAUAUCAUUUAGAGUAAAACAUGGUUAUUAUAUCUUGGGCGCUGAAGUGAAAAAAUAUUGUAGAGCUUUCACCAAAGGCGGAGUCACUCUGAAGGGUCCACUAUGCAUUUACUAUAGCCGUAAACAAACUUUUGCUGACUUGCUUUUUGCAAAAAGGAAACUGUAGCCACAAACCUGCCCCAGAGCUCAUAGUCCUGCAUUAUUUCAGACUGCAUGAGGCAGAAUGAUCACUAGAGGAAUGGGUCCAUACAUGCUGCAUCGUCUAUAAUGCAAUGAAAACAGAGAAGUACAUUGAAUUCAGUCAGACAGAGACAAUCCAUCAGGGAAUGCCAACUACCAUCAACUGUCUUUACGGCACAAACAGAAGUGACCGUUUAACAGCAUCUUUGAAAAGAAACCGUUUGCUUUGUGAAUACGUCUAUCUCAAUAAAUCCUGGACUAAACGAUUCUGUAAUGACAACAUCAGAUUUGUAUGGAUUCCAGAAACUGAGGAAAUAUCAUUUCAGCUCUUAAAUCUACAGAUAAAUAGUUCAGGUAUUUACAUGUGUACUGUGGUAAACUACUUCCCACCUCCUACAAGCUGUUUGGGAGAGAAGAGGAUAUCCAUUCAUGUAAAUGGUAAGUGGACUUGCUUACAGGACAAUAAUCCUUAAACUGAGAAAUCUGUUGAAAUCACUACAAGUAUUGUAUUAUUUGUAUAGUUCAAUAAUUUCAAAGAAUAGUAAUUAUAAUUCUUUAAUAAUCAAUAUGUUUACCAGUAUGCCAUGGAAAUAAUAAUAAUAAUAAUAAUAAUAAUAAUAAUAAUAAUAAUAAUUAGAGAUGCACCAAUGUAUCGGUCAAUCCCGAUUUAAGGCAAUUUUUCACGCUGUUGUUUGAUAGUUUAAAAACAUCCAAUGAUCAGGGCCGAUUGUAUCCUGUCAAUCAAAAGAGGGUGGGAAAACAUCAAUUUCGUGCUGUGUGUAAAGAUGUCUCUUGGGUGGAAUGACGACAAAACUGCAGUUUGUAAUUUCUGUAAACUCUGCACUGCUAAAAUUUUACACCGGACACUGCAGCAGUGAAGCGGCAGAUUCACUGAAACUAUGAAACAAAAUGCACUGAGAGAAGAGACCUGAACACUUUUUCAUCAAGUAUUCAUGUAUGAAGCAGUUUGGGAUUACUAACCAUUAUGAGCAUAGUCCUUUGCAUCAAGCAUUGCAGUAUACCUGUCGUUUUCCACGUUAUUUACUAUAUACUUAUAUUUAUAACUAAAUUCUAUAUUCGAAAGUAGAAUUUAGUAGAAAGUAGAAUUUACUUCGAAAGUAAGAGAUAACCAUUAAUUAAUAAUCACUUAAUAAGAUCUGAAUAAUUAUUGUCUUAUGACACCAAAUACUGCUGUACAAAUAUGGUAGAUUUUAAAUAAAUAACUAUGUAUUGAUAUGUGGCAGGCGUGUAUUGUAUUUAGAGUGAUGUGAAAAAGUAUUUGCUCCCAUUCUGAUUUCUUCUGUUUUUGUGUAUAACUCAUACGAAAUAGUUUUAGAUAUUUAAAUGAAAUACAACAUAAGCAAGAAAGAAGCAAAAAAAAAAAAAAGGUAGCUAACACCUAUCACCAAUGUGAAAAGUUAAUUGCUCUCCUAAACUUAAAAUCUGGUUGUGCCACCAGCAAUAACACCAACCAAACCAUUCCAAUAGCUGGAGAUCAGUCUUUCACUAACUUCUAGGAAUGAUCCAGUGCUUUGGAUCAUUGUCUUGCUGCAUAAUCUUGUUGUGCUUGAGUUCUACUCAGCUUAUGGAAAGAAGACUGGACAUUCUUCUUUAGGAUUUAAUGGUAGAGAACAGAAUUCAUGUUCCAUCCAUCCACCCUCUAUACCGCUUAUCCUUUUCAGGGUCACGGGGAACCUGGAGCCUAUCAUCGGGCACAAGGUGGGGUACACCUGGACAGGGUGCUAAUCCAUCACAGGGCACAAUCACACUAAACAUACAAUCAUACACUACGGACACUUUAGACAUGCCAAUCAGCCUACCAUGCAUGUCUUUGGACUGGGGGAGGAAACCUGUGUACCCGGAGGAAACCCCCGCAGCACGGGGAGAACAUGCAAACUCCGCACACACAGGGCCACACAGGUGGGAUUCGAACCCCCGACCCUGGAGGUGUGAGGCGAAUGUGCGAUAAUGGCUCUCAUUGUGGUCCUUUGGAGUCCCAGAGCCUUUGAAAUAGCUUUGUAACCCUUCCCAGACUGAUUUCAAUCACCUUCUUCCUCAUCAUUUCUGGAUUUUCUUUCAAUUUUGGCAUGGUGUGUUACUGGGUAAGACCCUUUAACCAACAUCAUGUGAAAAAGUUCUAUUUAAGUGUUAAUUUGAGUGAACAGGGUUUGAAUAAUGAGGUUGCGUCUAGUCCAGCUGAACCCCAUUAUGAUUGCAGUUUAAUAGAUAGACUGUGUGUGUAUGCAAAUGAUAUUUUUUAGAUAGGAAUAACAUUAAUGAAAUGUAUCAGUCAGGAUUUAGACCUCAUCAUAGCACAGAGACAGCGUUAGUUAAAGUAGUAAAUGACCUUCUACUGACUUACGAUCAGGGUUGUGUCUCGCUGCUUGUGUUACUCGACCUUACUGCAGCUUUUGAUACUAUAGAUCACACUAUUCUCCUUGAUAGAUUAGAAAAUGUUGUUGGUAUUAAGGGAACAGUCCUCUCCUGGCUCAGGUCUUAUCUGACCGAUCGUUAUCAGUUCGUAGAUGUAAAUGGUGAAUUCUCCAUGCGUACUGAGGUUACUUUUGGAGUUCCACAGGGUUCUGUUUUAGGCCCACUGCUCUUUACUUUAUAUAUGCUACCCCUAGGUCAAAUUAUUCGUAAACAUGGAAUUAGCUUCCACUGUUAUGCUGAUGAUACACAGUUGUAUGUUUCAGCGAAGCCAGAGGACAGACAUAAGCUUAGUAAAGUUGAGGAUUGUGUAAAGGACAUUAGACAUUGGAUGUUAAUUAACUUCCUUCUGCUUAAUUCUGAUAAAACAGAAAUACUUUUAUUAGGCCCACGUGUAGCUAGAAGUAUCCUUUCUGAUCACAUGGUUACUCUGGAUGGUCUUUCUGUUUCAUCAUGUGCAGCAGUUAAAGACCUUGGAGUGAUUAUUGACUCCAGCCUAUCAUUUGAUGCUCAUGUAGAUAAUAUUACUAGGAUAGCCUUCUUUCAUCUCAGAAAUAUUUCUAAAAUAAGAAACAUAUUGUCACUACAUGAUGCGGAAAUACUAGUUCAUGCAUUCGUCACCUCUAGAUUAGAUUACUGUAAUGCCAUACUGUCUGGAUGUUCCAGUAGGAAUAUAAAUAAGCUCCAAUUAGUCCAGAAUGCAGCUGCUAGAGUCCUAACUAGAACUAGAAGAUACGACCAUAUCACACCGAUAUUAUCCACACUGCAUUGGCUCCCAGUAAAAUCUCGCAUUAAUUAUAAAAUACUCUUAUUAACCUAUAAAGCACUAAACGGUCUCGCGCCACAAUAUCUAAGCGACCUUUUGGUUUUAUAUGAUCCGCCACGCCUACUUAGAUCAAAAGAUGCAGGCUAUCUGACGGUACCUCGAAUAGUGAAGGCUACAGCAGGGGGAAGAGCUUUCUCUUAUAGGGCCCCACAGUUAUGGAACAGUCUUCCUAUUAGUGUUCGGGACUCAGACACAGUCUCAGUGUUUAAGUCUAAGCUUAAAACGUAUUUGUUUACUCAAGCCUACCCUGACUAGAUUCUGUUCUACUUUCUCCCUCUCUCCUUUCGCCGAGCCCCACACGAAUUUAUGGAGAUACUAGAGAUCCUGAUCCUUUCAGCCUCUGGAUGGAGCUCAAAUCUUCUUUAAUUCCAGACUGCUGGGACUACGGCUGCUCUUAACACCAUACAGACUUCAUAUAAAUCCAUAAUGAACUUUUUCACAAUAUCUGUUGUUACCCAGAUGAGGAUGGGUUCCCUUCUGAGUCGGGUUCCUCUCAAGGUUUCUUCCUCUUAAAACAUCUUAGGGAGUUUUUCCUUGCCACCGUCGCCACUCAGUGGCUUGCUCAGUUGGGAUAAAUUCACACCUUUAAUAUCUGUAUACCGUGUUGAUAUUUCUGUAAAGCUGCUUUGAGACAAUGUCUAUUGUAAAAAGCGCUAUACAAAUAAAAUUGAAUUGAAUUGAAUUGAAUAUUUCCUAGAACCAUUGACCCUCUGUUGUCUGUUACUCUGCAGCACCUCCCUCUGUAUCUGUGUCAUGUGUGAAGGGGCCUGACGGAGCUCCCACAGUGCUUUGUGCUUCUGAGGGCUUUUACCCUGCUGAUCUGAAGCAGGCCUGGUUCAGAGAUGGAGAAUAUAUCAGUUACCUGAACGCUUCACUUAGACCUCUAUAUAAGGAAAACAUAAACUCCUCUGAUAUCAGCUGGAACUACAGCAAAAACACAGACGGGUCUUACAGAGUCACAUCGUACCUUCACCUGUCUUCAAACAUAACAGUGUACUACUGCUGGGUGAAUCACUCAACUCUGAGCCAACCCAUCAUUGUUAACAUUUCCUCCACUGAGUGCACUGAGAGAGAAGAGAAAUUAACAGGAUUAGUUGUGCGUUUUUGGGUUGUUGGAAUCCUCUUCGGCUUAUUGAUUGGCAUUGCUUUGUUCAGCAAACUUUACUAUCAACAUCUCACUUCACACCAUCUCUGGUCUACUGCUGAUGCUAUUGUUAUAUCGGAACCUGUCUCAUUCUCUCCGGGUUAGUCUAUCAACAAGAUGAGCCGAAGCAAACACAUUCACUAAAAUAAGGAGCUUUUCACUACUUUGGAAGUGUCAUUACUAUCAUGUAACAGCUCAGGAUAUUACUCCUUCCUGCCAGCAGACGUCACACAUUGUAGUGCAACCUCUGCAGUCAUUUCCAGGUCACUGGAAACUCUUGCCAAAUUGAGUGUGUAAAUUAUGAGUCUUGUAUUUCUGCUGAUUGUCUAUGCUGUAUUUGUUUGGUCUUUGAAUGACCCUUUACGCUGUUUAUACUGUGUCUGAUUUUUUCUGUUUGUGAUUUGACUGUUUAUCUACUCUGGGUUUGGUUUGAUUUCAAAUUUACAUGACUUGACUUCAUAAUAAAGUGCAUCUGCAUAUGUUAGAAGCA